rnacentral:rRNA from 1 species
UACAGAGGUCUCAAGCGUUUGUUCGGAUUCAUUGGGCGUAAAGGGUGCGUAGGCGGCGCGGUAAGUCGGGUGUGAAAUCUCGGAGCUUAACUCCGAAACUGCAUUCGAUACUGCCGUGCUUGAGGACUGGAGAGGAGACUGGAAUUUACGGUGUAGCGGUGAAAUGCGUAGAUAUCGUAAGGAAGACCGUGGCGAAGGCGGGUCUCUGGACAGUUCCUCGACGCUGAGGCACGAAGGUCAGGGGGAGCAAAACGGGG